CGGAUGAUGACGGUGAGGAAAAGGAAGAGGACUGAAUCGGUGCACGUCUGAACCGAGCGUGACCGGUUCUGUUAAUUAGUGAGAUGACCUUUUUGAACUUAGAGACGGUGAGAUCGGCAACCUCAGCGCAGUCGAGUCGGUUAGACUGGUGAGAAAGGAGGCUAAUCAGGUGCUCCAUGCUCUUCAUACCUUGCGUUGCAGCCUCCUGAAUGGCCAUCUGAUCAUCCAUCUUAGGAAAACUCAUCAGAUCCACCGCCAUUUUCACGAAAAACAACGACGAC
rnacentral:lncRNA from 1 species